rnacentral:rRNA from 1 species
UACGUAUGGAGCAAGCGUUAUCCGGAUUUACUGGGUGUAAAGGGAGCGCAGGCGGCUUUGCAAGUCUGAUGUGAAAGGCCGGGGCUCAACCCCGGGACUGCAUUGGAAACUGUAAGGCUAGAGUGCCGGAGAGGUAAGCGGAAUUCCUAGUGUAGCGGUGAAAUGCGUAGAUAUUAGGAGGAACACCAGUGGCGAAGGCGGCUUACUGGACGGCAACUGACGCUGAGGCUCGAAAGCGUGGGGAGCAAACAGG